ensembl:lncRNA
UUUUGAUCUCAUUCUUGCUCAGUGGAAAUUUCAUUUCUAGUCAUGCUGUUGAGUUUAAAAUCACCAAAUGUGGUGUCAGCAGCUCUGUAUGUGCUGGUUAUAACAUGCUGUAUGGUUCAAGUGAUAGAAAUUGUGAAUUUCAUAGCUCCCACAGACACGUUUCCCCCUGAGGAGAUGUUCUCUUGAGAUCCGUGCUGCCUCGGGGUAAGUGGAUAUUAGGCUCAGACUAAGAGACCGGUGAGGUGACUUUAUUGACUGGCUGGAAACAGCCAGGGCUGACUGAGUGAUUUGUCUCCAAAAAUAGAAGAGACUUGAGUGCAAAAAGCCACCGAAGGAUCCAUCAGUGGUUAUCAGUAAACCUUUUUAGCUAUACUUACAGACUGUUAACAGUGCUAGAUUCGUUUGAAGGAGUGCGUUCGAUGCUGUCACAUUUAUUGUAAAGUUUGACAAGUGUUUGAUUUUCACAAUCUGCCAGGAUUUGGGUUGCUAACGGCUCUAAUGAACUCUGUCUGUGCUAUAGGGAAGGGAAGGGACUGACGAAUCGAUCAGGUUUGGGGCCGUGAGGAUGAGGUGAGAUUCUGUGACCUGCAAACUCACACAGAGCGUUAAUGACAGAUGAGCUUCAUCGACUCGCAGCUGAAAAAAUUACGGAUGUUCUUGGGAAAUCUCAGUGUGGAGGAUUUACAGUCUUUGAGAAAGUGGUUUGCACAGGAUUCUCAGUCAAAUAUGCUGACAGACGUGAAGUUUAUACAGGGCUUCAAACUGUGAAGAAGUUGAGAUUACAGAGCUUUCCAUGUGUGAGGGAUACGUGUCCAUCUGGAGCCAGAAGGGGACAUUUCUCGUCUUGAAGGCUGAAAGCAUAAGUAGACCGGACCAGAUUUCAUCAUUUCCACUUGAAAUGUUGUUCAGCAUUGACAUAAUUUUACAUAUUACAUAUUCAGUGCUGGGUACUUACAAAUUGCAUUCUGUUACUGAUCACAAAUUACAUGUUGAAAAUUAUUGUCAGUAAUGUAAUCAAAAUUUACUUACUCAUUUAAGGUCAUGUAUUCUGACUACUUUUGGAUUACUUUUAGAACUUGUUUAUAAAUUUGAAUGGCUUUUUUGUUAUUUUUAAAAAGAUAAAAUAUGUGACCAUUAACCGACAUCAGAAAACAUGUAUGUUGUAAAAUUAUUAAAAUAUUAACUUUAAGUAUAUAUUUUAGAUCAAGGGAGUUUGACUGACAAAAAGUUUGGGAAUCCCUGCAUCAUGGAAAAAGGAAUUACAUAGAAUCAAUAAAUUAUGAAUAAUUUACUGUCA